rnacentral:piRNA from 1 species
UAGCCACAAGGUUAAUGGGUCUUUCUAUC